rnacentral:rRNA from 1 species
AUGAUGUUGUUGAGUGUCUAUUCAAUGAUGACUAUUAUGCGGGCUAGAACUGGCUUGCUUUGGAACACUGACUUCCGCUAUAUGCCAGCGUCACUCCCUGGGGCAGAAGGUUAUUUCACAGCUAUUUACACCGACUCUCAUCAUGAGGACUCGCUACUUCGCACUACCGCACAGAUGCUUGAGGAUAAGGACCGUGAAAAUCGUGCCUUGCGAUUGGAGCUUUUCAACUCCCGGUCUGAUCACUGGGACACUUUGACCCGGUUUGCACCUGCUGUGCAGGCUGGGUAUAUGGAUAUGCGGGAUCUGUACCCCGUGCGGUCUAGUCUGCUGGAUCAUAUGGAUUGUCGUGAUGUAGGGGGCAUCACUCCUCCCCAUGGACCUCUUCUGUCACCAUUUGUUGGUCCCAGGCCACAUCUGUGUCCCUAUGGACUGCAGGCUCCACAGGAUCGACUGUUUCCAGAUGAUCACGUCCAGCUUCCAGGACAUGGGGGUAAUCUCUACGAAGAUUACUACGGAGAUGUUUGA